ACUGACCUUUCAGGGGGUAGAGAGAGAGAGGAAAUAUUUCGUCCCACAUGGGCUGCAGGAAAAUGCAGACAGCAAUUGAUUUAACUGUUGACUUUUGAAGUCAGAGCGUUCGCUGGUCCUCCAAAAUCGUUGGCCGAGACCGGGUGAAGCCUUGGAUGGCGGGGGGGUUGGUGUUUACUGCAGGGACAGGUCGGAGGGACGACUGCCCAUCUGCCCCCUGUAUUCACCCUCCACUCUGGCUUCGGAUUGUGUUGCAGUGCCCUGUCCUCCGAGCUCGAGGUGCUCCGGUCCAUCUACCUGGAAGAGCUAACCGUGUCGCGGCACUCCGGCAGGGAGCGCCCGUGGGAGAUCGGCGUCGCGUUGCACCCGGCCACGGCCGACCACACCGAGUCCCAGUACGUUCGCUUCACCCUCGUCCUCUCCCUCUCAGCCCAGUAUCCGGAUGAUCCUCCCGUGGUAUCCGUUCGGAAUCCUCGGGGACUCUCUGACGACUGGAUACAGAGCAUUUGCCAGAGUCUGACAGAGCUAGCCGAGGAGAACGUGGGAACGCAAAUGCUUUUCCAGCUCAUUGAG